AGCGACUUUAUGCCGAUAUAUACGAUACAAAGCUCCACCAAAUUUCUAAAAUCCACCCACCCAACCCAAUAUGCUGUGUUGAGUGUUGAAGUCGAACCCGCUUAAAGCUAAAAGCUUUAGCCUUUAAUAAGAAUAAGAGAGUAGAAACAAAAUCCCUAUUAUUUUUUCUUUUUCCAUUUCCAAUACCCUCUUUGGCUCUUUCUUCUCCGGACGACUAAGGAAAAGGCUUUUCCUUUUAUUAUUCUUAUUAAUUUUUGUUUUGAAUUGAGAGUCUGUGAUCUUCAUACUGCACACCAAUAAGCUUCGGGAUGAUUAUGGUCCGUAGGGGUUCUGCCUAGGAAGGAAGGCAUCUUUAUGUUUAGGUUUGAGUUUUAUUUGAUCAUCGAGUGUCUCUCUCUCUGACCAGGGACCUGACCUGACUUGAAAGUUGCAAAUUUGCAAUUGCCAAAACACAAACUAGUGGCUUUAUGUUAGUUGAAACAACCAGAACUUUUGACCAAUCAGUCAGCCAUCUGUAAGAAAGAAGAUAUAGCAAGUCUUAGGAUAUGGGAUGCCUGGUGUCAACACCGAAAGAUACAGUAGGAAAUAGGAGGAGGCCAGCAAAUAUUGGGGAAGUUUCUGUCUAUGUUCCUGGUUUGCGAAUCCCUAAACCUGUUGAUUUCUCUCAGUCACUCGGUGAUCACUUAUCCAAGAGUUUAGUAGAACGCCUAUCUGCUUUAAGAACUCGUAUAGUUGUAAUGGCUGGCCAAGAAGGUCCUACAAUUACAAGAACAAGGAGAAAAACUGCUACCCAACAUGGUGGUUCAACAUUAGCUGAUCUUCAGCAGGCUCUCGAGGAUUACUUGCCUGUCCUUUUGGGAUUAAUGAAAGAUGGAAGCCAGCUACAACACAAGGUACAAUUUGUGUGGGUAAAUCAAGAGGAUGAUGCAGAGGAAACAGCUAUGUCUAAUGCAUGGUACGAGGUGCUGUCCAUCUUGCACUUAAUGGCAAUGCUAUCGUUCUCACAAGCUAAUUUGUUACUUCUUCCAAGAACAUCUGCUGAUGGUUAUCAGCCAAAAGUAACAGAAGAGAGUAGACGAGCUUCAAUUGAUAUUUUCAUAAAGGCAGCAGGAUACCUUGAUUGUGCUGUCCGACAUGUUCACCCACAGUUGCCUACUGAGCUCAAGAGAAACCUGCCAGUCGACCUAGCAGAAGGAGUUCUUCGGGCCCUUUGCCUACAAGCAUUAGGACAGGGUGUUGAUAUUCAACUUGGUAUGGCAAUUGAUAGCACAAAAGCUACUCUUGCAGUGAAGCGAAGGCUUGCAUGUGAAAUGGUGAAGUAUUGGCAGCAGGCUCAAGAUAACAUUAUGAACCUUCCAUUAUUAAAUGGUUGGGGUGAAAAGCAUCGGCUCUUUGUGAAGUGGAAAUAUGUUGAGGCAAAGGCUGCUGCAUAUUAUUAUCAUGGUUUGAUCCUUGACGAGGGUAACACCGAAAAAUUUCAUGGGAUGGCUGUAGCUGCUUUGCAAGCAGCAGAUGAGUAUUUUAAAGAAAGUAAGAAAGCAUGUGACGCAUUUCAUGCUGCUGCUCCUUUGUCGAGACAUUAUGCAGAAAUCCACCGCUCUGGGGAACCAUGAAAUAUCUAUCUGAAAAAAUUCCAAAAGAUACUUCGAGCAAAGUGCGGAUAAACCGUGACCUCUACUCACACGAAAAAAUCAUGGAGACAGCACCAACAUUGCCAGACUUUGCUUUGGCCCUGAAACCGGAUGAAUACCAACUUCCUCCGGUGGACCCGUCUUGGAACAUGGAGCACAUGAAUAAGGGACAGACUGGUUCCAACCAGCUCAGGAAUGACAGAAGAUAGCCAAGCCAUAUAUGAUAGUUUUCUGCAUCACAAAGUAACAGGGGCCGAUCCAGAAGUGUGGAUGACCAUUCAAUUGUAGAGCCCAAGGUCUACUUGAGCUGCCCUUUUGUUACCCCUCUUCUUUUUUCUUUUUCUCCUUUUAAUCCAUUUUUCCUUAUAAAUUUCUUUUGUUCCUUCUCCCCAUGCGUAAUUUACUUAUAGAGCUCUGUAUUUAUGUUUUCUGUUGUGUGUAAAUUGUUAAUUGGCUGCUACGGGGGAAGAGAAGAAUGACUCAUAUGCAAAUUACCAAGAACGGGUAUUUGCUCCAUCGAAGUUGAAGCCAGUCUUGUCCGAUUACGUUUGUCCAUCUGUUUCAUAAGUAUCGUGUUUCAUAGAAAAGCGUUCCUUU